ACAGAAAUACAAGCAACAGUCAGAUAAUACUAUAAACACUUCUAUGCACAUAAACUAGAAAAUCUAGAAGAAAAUGAAUAAAUUUCUUGAAACA